rnacentral:rRNA from 1 species
AGAGUUUGAUCAUGGCUCAGGAUGAACGCUGGCGGCGUGCCUAAUACAUGCAAGUCGAGCGAGAAUCAAGUGAACGGAGAUUCGUCAAGGUGAUCUUGAGGAAAGCGGCGGACGGGUGAGUAACGCGUAGGCAACCUGCCCUUAGCAGAGGGAUAGCCAUUGGAAACGAUGAUUAAAACCUCAUAAUGCUGAAGAGUCACAUGUCUUUUCAGCCAAAGAUUUAUCGGCUAAGGAUGGGCCUGCGUCUGAUUAACUAGUUGGUGAGGUAACGGCCCACCAAGGUGACGAUCAGUAGCCGACCUGAGAGGGUGAUCGGCCACAUUGGAACUGAGACACGGUCCAAGCUUCUACGGAAGGCAGCAGUAAGGAAUCUUGCACAAUGGGGGAAACCCUGAUGCAGCAACGCCGCGUGAACGAUGAAGGCCUUAGGGUUGUAAAGUUCUGAUCUGUGGGAAGAAGAAAGUGACGGUACCACAGGAGAAAGCCCCGGCUAAAUACGUGCCAGCAGCCGCGGUAAUACGUAUGGGGCAAGCGUUAUCCGGAAUUAUUGGGCGUAAAGAGUGCGUAGGUGGUUACCUAAGCGCAAGGUUUAAUCUUGAGGCUCAACCUCAUUCUGCCUUGCGAACUGGGCUACUUGAGUGCUGGAGGGGAAAGCGGAAUUCCCAGUGUAGCGGUGAAAUGCGUAGAUAUUGGGAAGAACACCGGUGGCGAAGGCGGCUUUCUGGACAGUAACUGACACUGAGGCACGAAAGCGUGGGGAGCAAACAGGAUUAGAUACCCUGGUAGUCCACGCCGUAAACGAUGAGCACUAGUUGUUGGGUACGAAUGUAUUCAGUGACGCAGUUAACGCAAUAAGUGCUCCGCCUGGGGAGUACGGUGGCAACACUAAAACUCAAAGGAAUUGACGGGGACCCGCACAAGCAGCGGAGCAUGUGGUUUAAUUCGAAGCAACGCGAAAAACCUUACCAGGGCUUGACAUCCCUCUGAAAGGUCUCUUAACCGAGACCCCUCUUCGGACAGAGGUGACAGGUGGUGCAUGGUUGUCGUCAGCUCGUGUCGUGAGAUGUUGGGUUAAGUCCCGCAACGAGCGCAACCCUUGUCGUCAGUUACUAACAUUCGGUUGAGGACUCUGACGAGACUGCCGAGGUCAACUCGGAGGAAGGUGGGGAUGACGUCAAAUCGUCAUGCCCCUUAUGUUCUGGGCUACACACGUGCUACAAUGGCCGGUACAAUGAGAGGCAAAGCCGCGAGGCAGAGCAAAUCACCAAAACCGGUCCCAGUUCGGAUUGCAGGCUGCAACUCGCCUGCAUGAAGUCGGAGUUGCUAGUAAUCGCGAAUCAGCAUGUCGCGGUGAAUGCGUUCCCGGGUCUUGUACACACCGCCCGUCACACCAUGGAAGUUGGGGGCGCCCAAAGUUGGCUAAUCAAUCUGCUACCUAAGGCGAAACCAAUGACUGGGGUGAAGUCGUAACAAGGUAGCCGUA